UUAAGAAACUUGCCCAAAGCCACACAGCUAGUAAACAGCAGAGCCAGGAUGCAAACCCAAGCUGGCCUGCUCCCACCACCCCUGCUCUCGUUAGCCCCCACGUCGUGCUGCCUCACACUCUACCUCAGACCUCAUUCUAGGGCACCACGUCCUCGCCUCGGAAAUCACGGCCACUGCAUCUCAAGCAAGGAGCGUAUACGGCCCAGUCUUACUCAUCUCCAGGACAGAGCUCCCUGCCCGCUCAUCUAUUCCCUUCCCCUCACCCGCUCCCCUUGAUUCCUUAAUGUGUAGGUUGGUCAACAGCCUUCUAAGUGAAUUGCUGCUCUAAUAUUGCUGAUGCCCUAGAAGGGGAUGGUUACGGGCUCCUUGAGAGCAAGAUUCCUUUUCUCUCUUCAGAUCUAUCUCCUCAGCCAGUGGGGCAUGUACUAAGUGCCCAGUCAAAUCCUCACUUGCUGAUGUAUGGCCAAGACAAGGACUGGGUGUGAAGGACUGAAGUAACCACGUUGCCCACUAACCUCUGUGUUCACCGUGGGAGCCCGCCCUCCUGCAAUCUGUCCCUGGCAGACAGCGCCGCUGAGCACCACCUGUCCCGGAUCCCGCUCAACUCUGACUUCACAGGGGACCCCGGAACCUGAGGAACCUGGAGGAGGAGCGCGGAUGUCACCCUCACAACAGUCGUGUGAAUUUAAGGGUUCAGCGUCAAUCACGAGCUGCCCCGUCAGCUGCCCAGCCCUGGCCCCGGCCCCAGGGAGGUGAAGCAAGUGUUGAAGUCACCGGAGGCGGGAGGCAACGGAUACCUCUCUGCAUCCCCCAUGGCAGCAGCAGUUCAGGAGGCCUGCAGCAAAUAUUUCUGGGUUACUUGGUGAAUUGGACAGUCGACGAUAGUGCAGAGGGAGGGCUGCUUUUAGCCCCCAAAUCAGUGCCAAUGAGUCUCUGUCUGUACCCCGUGACCUGCCUGUUCUGCAAAUUCACCCCUUCCUGCUCUGAGGCAUUUCUCUUCCCACCAGGAAGGCAGCUCCGGCCAGGCCCUGGGCUGGUGCCAGCUGCAGAUCUAGAGUUGUCACCAGGUCAACCCU
rnacentral:lncRNA from 1 species